rnacentral:rRNA from 1 species
AGUGAACGCUGGCGGUAGGCCUAACACAUGCAAGUCGAACGGCAGCACAGUAAGAGCUUGCUCUUACGGGUGGCGAGUGGCGGACGGGUGAUGAAUACAUCGGAAUCUUCUUUUUCGUGGGGAUAACGUAGGGAAACUUACUCUAAUACCGCAUACGACCUACGGGUGAAAGCCGGGGAUCUUCGGACCUUGCGCGAUUGAAUGAGCCGAUGUCGGAUUAGCUAGUUGGCGGGGUAAAGGCCCACCAAGGCGACGAUGCGUAGCUGGUCUGAGAGGAUGAUCAGCCACACUGGAACUGAGACACGGUCCAGACUCCUACGGGAGGCAGCAGUGGGGAAUAUUGGGCAAUGGGCGAAAGCCUGAUCCAGCCAUACCGCGUGAGUGAAGAAGGCCUUCGGGUUGUAAAGCCCUUUUAUUGGGAAAGAAAAGAAGUAGAAUAAUACCCCGAUGUUCUGACGGUACCCAAAGAAUAAGCACCGGCUAACUUCGUG